rnacentral:rRNA from 1 species
AUUGAACGCUGGCGGCAGGCCUAACACAUGCAAGUCGAGCGAGCGGCGGACGGGUGAGUAAUGUAUGGGGACUGCCCGAUAGCGGGGGAUAACUACUGGAAACGGUGGCUAAUACCGCAUACUGUCGGAUAACCCAGUUGGGAUUAGCUAGUGGGUGAGGUAAUGGCUUACCUAGGCGACGAUCCCUAGCUGGUCUGAGAGGAUGAUCAGCCACACUGGGAGUGAGAAAGGGCCCAGACUCCGGCGGAGGCAGCAGUGGGGAAUAUUGGACAAUGGGCGCAAGGCUGAGGGGGCCAGGCGGCGUGUGUGAAGAAGGCCUUAGGGUUGUAAAGCACUGUCGGUAGGGAGGCGGUACCGACAGAAGAAGCACCGGCUAACUCCGUGCCAGCAGCCGCGGUAAUUC